rnacentral:rRNA from 1 species
AUUGAACGCUGGCGGCAUGCCUUACACAUGCAAGUCGAACGGUAACAGGUUAAGCUGACGAGUGGCGAACGGGUGAGUCAUACAUCGGAACGUGCCCAGUAGUGGGGGAUAGCCCGGCGAAAGCCGGAUUAAUACCGCAUACGACCUAAGGGUGAAAGGGGGGGAUCGCAAGACCUCUCGCUAUUGGAGCGGCCGAUGUCAGAUUAGCUAGUUGGUGGGGUAAAAGCUCACCAAGGCGACGAUCUGUAGCUGGUCUGAGAGGACGACCAGCCACACUGGGACUGAGACACGGCCCAGACUCCUACGGGAGGCAGCAGUGGGGAAUUUUGGACAAUGGGCGCAAGCCUGAUCCAGCCAUGCCGCGUGCGGGAAGAAGGCCUUCGGGUUGUAAACCGCUUUUGUCAGGGAAGAAAUCCUUUGGGUUAAUACCUCGGGGGGAUGACGGUACCUGAAGAAUAAGCACCGGCUAACUACGUG